UACAGAGGGUGCGAGCGUUGUCCGGAAUUACUGGGCGUAAAGAGCGCGCAGGCGGUCGUACAAGUCGCGUGUGAAAGCCCCCGGCUCAACUGGGGAGGGUCACGCGAUACUGAUCGACUCGAAGGCAGGAGAGGGUAGUGGAAUUCCCGGUGUAGUGGUGAAAUGCGUAGAUAUCGGGAGGAACACCAGUGGCGAAGGCGACUACCUGGCCUGUUCUUGACGCUGAGGCGCGAAAGCUAGGGGAGCAAACGGG
rnacentral:rRNA from 1 species